UUUGUAACGGGUGGAUAAAGUUGUCUCGGAUUUUGGUUUCCUUGCUCAGGGCACCACCACUGGGGUAAAGGGGGGGACCUUACCACUAUCCCACCACUGUCCGAGGACACCUGCAAGGGGGGAGUCUCAUGCAACCAGGAGGAGGAUUUUGUGGAUGAGGAAGAGGAGGAGGAGAAUGCGCAGCAGGCAAGCGGAGAAUCCAUUCUCCCGGCAGCCAGGACCUUUUCAUCACCCUGGAGCCAAUACCCUCCCAAGGUGGGAUCCCUGACCCUGAAGCCGGAGAAGGCACCUCUGGUGGAAAUGUUUCAGUGCUUCCCCUAUCAUCUCCGUCCCUGAGGUUAUCGCAGAUUAGAAGGCGAAAAAAACACAUUAGUGAUGACAUGUUUUCCUAGCUCAUGCAGUCCUCCCACACUGAUAGGGCACAGCUGAAUGCAUGGAGGCAUUCAGUGGCAGAGGCCAGGAAAGCAUACAGUGAACACGAUGAGCAGAGGCAGGAGGCAAUGCUGAGGCUAAUGGGGGAGCAAACGGACAUGCUCAGGCAUCUGGUGGAGCUGCAGGAAAGCCAACAAGAGCACAGACAACCACUGCAUCCACUGUACAACCGCCUACCCUCCUCCCCAUGUUCCAUAUCCUCCUCAACCAGACGCCCAAGA